UACGUAGGGUGCGAGCGUUGUCCGGAAUUAUUGGGCGUAAAGAGCUCGUAGGCGGUCUGUCGCGUCGGUCGUGAAAACUUGGGGCUUAACCCUGAGCUUGCGGUCGAUACGGGCAUGACUGGAGUUCGGUAGGGGAGACUGGAAUUCCUGGUGUAGCGGUGAAAUGCGCAGAUAUCAGGAGGAACACCGGUGGCGAAGGCGGCAUCCUGGACCAACACUGACGCUGAGUGAGCGAAAGCCAGGGGAGCAAACGGG
rnacentral:rRNA from 1 species